rnacentral:rRNA from 1 species
AUGCACCGUGCUACGAUCAUCGCGCUGAUCUGCUGCCUCGUGGCCGGCGGCAGGGCGCGCGCACAGCCGUUCGACUACCCGGCGGCGAGGCUCUCCACGACCUGGGCCAACACGGACGCCGCCCUGCCGCACCACGUCGUCUACACCGACGGCUCCGUGGCGCGGGCCGCCCUGCUGCGGCUCAACCCGGCGGGCCUCGGCCCCUCCUACGCCUUCGGCUUCUUCUGCACCGCCAGUCAACCGCGCGGCAACGGCCCCGCGGCCCCGUGCACGGAGUUCCUGCUCGGCGUCGCCGUCGUCUACUGCAACAGCGGCGCGGGCAUGACGUUCGUCACGGCCGGCGUCCCGCAGGUCGUCUGGUCGGCCAACCGCGGCAGCCCCGUCAGUGAGGGCGCCACCACGGAGCUCACGCCGGAGGGCGACCUGGUUCUCAGGUCGGGCCCCGGCGGAGCGGUCUUGUGGUCCACCGGCACCAAGGGCCGGUCCGUCGCCGGGGCGCGCAUCGGCAGCGACGGCAACCUGGUGCUGUUCGACGGGCGCAACGCCACGGUGUGGCAGUCGUUCGACCACCCCACGAACGCGCUCCUCGUCGGGCAGUCUCUGAAGCACGGCGCGCGGCUCACCGCCAACGCGUCGACGGCGGACUGGCGCGACGGCAGGCUCUACCUCGCCGUGGACGACGAUGGACUGAACGCCUACGUCAACGCCACGCCGCCGCAGCGCUACUACCACCUCAGCCUCAGCGAGACCGCAUCCGGCGCCUACGCGACGUACACCAACGGCAGCCUCACGGUGUCCGCCCGGCCCGGUGCGCCGCCGCUGGCCGCCAUCCAGCUGCCCACCGUGGGCGCCGGCACGGUGCAGUACAUGCGGCUGGAGCACGACGGCCACCUCCGGAUCUACGAGUGGCGCUCGGGCUGGGCGCCGGUGUACGACGUGCUCAAGUCUGCUACGACCUGA